GCGUCGGUAGUGCAACGGUUCAACAAGCGCUCCCCCAAAGAGUGAGAUCUGGGUUUAAGUCCCGGCUGACGCA